rnacentral:rRNA from 1 species
CAAUAGCGUAUAUUAAAGUUGUUGCAGUUAAAAAGCUCGUAGCUGAAUUUUUGCUUGCCGCCGAUGUCGGAACUUCCGUACGUUCGGCGGCGUGCAUCCUUGGGUGGAACCUGUGUGGCAUUAGGUUGUCGUGCAGGGGAUGCUCAUCGUUUACUGUGAAAAAAUUAGAGUGUUCAAAGCAGGCUUACGCCGUUGAAUAUAUUAGCAUGGAAUAAUAAGAUAGGACCUUGGUACUAUUUUGUUGGUUUGCGCACCGAGGUAAUGAUUAACAGGGACAGUUGGGGGUAUUCGUAUUCCAUUGUCAGAGGUGAAAUUCUUGGAUUUCUGGAAGACGAACUACUGCGAAAGCAUUUACCAAGGAUGUUUUCAUUAA